rnacentral:tRNA from 1 species
UGUUCUGUGGCUUAGUUGGUUAAAGCGAAAACGGAGUCGUGGGUUCGAAUCCCACCGGAAUGC